AAGCGUUGUCCGGAAUUAUUGGGCGUAAAGAGAUCGUAGGCGGUCUGUCGCGUCGGCUGUGAAAACCCGGGGCUCAACCCCGGGCCUGCAGUCGAUACGGGCAGACUAGAGUGCGGUAGGGGAGACUGGAAUUCCUGGUGUAGCGGUGAAAUGCGCAGAUAUCAGGAGGAACACCGGUGGCGAAGGCGGGUCUCUGGGCCGUAACUGACGCUUAGGAGCGAAAGCGUGGGGAGCGAACAGG
rnacentral:rRNA from 1 species